CAGGUAAAUCUUUCAGCUUGUCGCGCUGCGCCACCUGGCGGAAAUGCCAGAAGCUGUGGGCUUUGCCUAA
ensembl:miRNA cin-mir-4049 cin-mir-4049